UGAGGACUUGGAUGCAAAAGUGCUGGACAUUCAGCGUCAUCACCCAAAUGCCGGCUGCAGAAUGAUGAUGGGACAUCUACGAUCCAGAGGCAUACACAUUCAAAGAUUUCGACUGAUGGAUUCAAUGAGUCAAUCCAGAAGGGGUCAUGAUGCGACGGUUAUCUAGUCAGACUGCAAGGCGUCGUCAGUACAGUGUACCAGCACCAAAUCACCUUUGGCAUAUCGAUGGAAAUCAUAAACUAAUUCGAUGGAGAUUUGUUGUCCAUGGUGGGAAAGAUGUUUUUUCUAGGUUAAUUGUCUACCUUAAAGCUGCCACCAACAACAAAGUUACAACAAUUUUUGAUGGUUUCUUAUCAGCAAUCAGACAAUAUGGCAUACCGUCACGAGUCCGGUAAGAGGUGUUUAACAAAUACAGUAUGCCAAAAAAACUCUGUAUUGGACAGUAGUUAUAUUCAGAUUGUUACUCUCACUGACUCGGA